GGACAUUCUUGGUUUGUUGGGUUCAUGAGCCCAUGCAAGCCUAACAGCAUACACCAGAGGACCAGAAUGUUCCCGCCCAGUUUUUGGACAGCCCAGAUUGUGUGUUGUGUGUGGUUCUUGGUUCUGCCUCUCCUCUUGUGACGUUCAGGGUGUCAGAUGUCAGUGCUUGCCAGGCUAGAAGGGGUAAACAGAGUGUGGGAUGAACAUCAUAGCUCCAUGUCUUCUGCUUUCUUCCUCUCAGGGUGUCCAGACCACAGGACUCUGGAGAGAGAACUGCAGCAUCCUCAGACACAUGGACUGGUUUAGAGCUGCAGAGAGAUCACUUCUGUGCACGCACAUGGCCAUUAUGGAUGUCCGUGAUGGGCCCUAGGGCUGCCGUUCUUCAAGCCUGAUACGAGCCUCCAGAUAACUCCGAAGGGAACCUUUUUACCCUCAUCAUUACCACCAUCCUUACUGUUUGUAUCAUCAGUGACCAAAUCGAGGCAGGAAAUAAGAGUCAGAAGAGUCACUGAGUGGACGUAUAAGGAGAAAUGAUGAAGAGGAUGGUCAGAGGGAAGGGCAUUGAAACUUGUGUCGGUGGACAGGAGGUGGAGCGGGGGUUGAUUAGACACCGUAUCCUUACGAAGAAGGACUGCAUAUCCUCUAUACCCCAGUUUCGACCCCUGCAACCACAGACAAAAGGUAAGGCUAAGAAGAUAGUAUCUCACCAGUUUCUCUUUGGGAAUAAUGAUGUCUCCUUCCUCCUAAGCUCCCUGAAACCCAAGGGGAUUGUGGGACACCAGUAUCCCAGUUGCGGACAUGAUAUUCGAAAGCACGUGGAAGUCUGGGAUGCU